rnacentral:rRNA from 1 species
GACGAACGCUGGCGGCGUGCUUAACACAUGCAAGUCGAACGAAGAGCGAUGGAAGCUUGCUUCUAUCAAUCUUAGUGGCGAACGGGUGAGUAACGCGUAAUCAACCUGCCCUUCAGAGGGGGACAACAGUUGGAAACGACUGCUAAUACCGCAUACGAUCUAAUCUCGGCAUCGAGGAUAGAUGAAAGGUGGCCUCUACAUGUAAGCUAUCACUGAAGGAGGGGAUUGUGUCUGAUUAGCUAGUUGGAGGGGUAACGGCCCACCAAGGCGAUGAUCAGUAGCCGGUCUGAGAGGAUGAACGGCCACAUUGGGACUGAGACACGGCCCAGACUCCUACGGGAGGCAGCAGUGGGGAAUCUUCCGCAAUGGACGAAAGUCUGACGAAGCAACGCCGCGUGAGUGAUGACGGCCUUCGGGUUGUAAAGCUCUGUUAAUCGGGACGAAAGGCCUUCUUGCGAAUAGUGAGAAGGAUUGACGGUACCGGAAGAGAAAGCCACGGCUAACUACGUG